rnacentral:rRNA from 1 species
CCUACGGGGCGCAGCAGGCGCGAAAACUUUACAAUGCGGGAAACCGUGAUAAGGGGACACCGAGUGCCAGCAUCAUAUGCUGGCUGUCCAGGUGUGUAAAAUACACCUGUUAGCAAGGGCCGGGCAAGACCGGUGCCAGCCGCCGCGGUAACACCGGCGGCCCGAGUGGUGAUCGUGAUUAUUGGGUCUAAAGGGUCCGUAGCCGGUUUGGUCAGUCCUCCGGGAAAUCUGAUAGCUCAACUAUUAGGCUUUCGGGGGAUACUGCCAGACUUGGAACCGGGAGAGGUAAGAGGUACUACAGGGGUAGGAGUGAAAUCUUGUAAUCCCUGUGGGACCACCUGUGGCGAAGGCGUCUUACCAGAACGGGUUCGACGGUGAGGGACGAAAGCUGGGGGCACGAACCGGAUUAGAUACCCGGGUAGUCCCAGCCGUAAACGAUGCUCGCUAGGUGUCAGGCAUGGCGCGACCGUGUCUGGUGCCGCAGGGAAGCCGUGAAGCGAGCCACCUGGGAAGUACGGCCGCAAGGCUGAAACUUAAAGGAAUUGGCGGGGGAGCACAACAACGGGUGGAGCCUGCGGUUUAAUUGGACUCAACGCCGGACAACUCACCGGGGACGACAGCAAAAUGUAGGCCAGGCUGAAGACCUUGCCUGAAUCGCUGAGAGGAGGUGCAUGGCCGUCGCCAGUUCGUACUGUGAAGCAUCCUGUUAAGUCAGGCAACGAGCGAGACCCGUGCCCACUGUUACCAGCAUGUCCUCCGGGACGAUGGGUACUCUGUGGGGACCGCCGGUGUUAAAUCGGAGGAAGGUGCGGGCCACGGUAGGUCAGUAUGCCCCGAAUUUCCCGGGCUACACGCGGGCUACAAUGGAUGGGACAAUGGGUCCCUCCCCCGAAAGGGGCUGGUAAUCUCACAAACCCAUUCGUAGUUCGGAUCGAGGGCUGUAACUCGCCCUCGUGAAGCUGGAAUCCGUAGUAAUCGCGUUUCAAUAUAGCGCGGUGAAUACGUCCCUGCUCCUUGCACACACCGC